rnacentral:rRNA from 1 species
AGGGAAACCGAGUCUUAACUGGGCGUUAAGUUGCAGGGUAUAGACCCGAAACCCGGUGAUCUAGCCAUGGGCAGGUUGAAGGUUGGGUAACACUAACUGGAGGACCGAACCGACUAAUGUUGAAAAAUUAGCGGAUGACUUGUGGCUGGGGGUGAAAGGCCAAUCAAACCGGGAGAUAGCUGGUUCUCCCCGAAAGCUAUUUAGGUAGCGCCUCGUGAACUCAUCUUCGGGGGUAGAGCACUGUUUCGGCUAGGGGGUCAUCCCGACUUACCAACCCGAUGCAAACUGCGAAUACCGAAGAAUGUUAUCACGGGAGACACACGGCGGGUGCUAACGUCCGUCGUGAAGAGGGAAACAACCCAGACCGCCAGCUAAGGUCCCAAAGUCACAGUUAAGUGGGAAACGAUGUGGGAAGGCUCAGACAGCCAGGAUGUUGGCUUAGAAGCAGCCAUCAUUUAAAGAAAGCGUAAUAGCUCACUGGUCGAGUCGGCCUGCGCGGAAGAUGUAACGGGGCUAAACUGUGCACCGAAGCUGCGGCAGCGACGCUUAUGCGUUGUUGGGUAGGGGAGCGUUCUGUAAGCCUGCGAAGGUGUCCUGUGAGGG